rnacentral:lncRNA from 1 species
ACUGUGCCCGCUGUGGAAAGCCCUGCAUUAAUGCAGGGACAGUAAAACAGUGCAGUGGGGCAUGAUAGAAAACCGUGUCUCAAUUUCAGCUGGAUAUAUGAUGAAACACACUGGAGAUCAGCGAGGAAGGGAUGUAUGAUUUAAGAAAGGGUUCUAGGAAAAUUGUUCAUAUUGAAGGAAACUAGGACAUAUCCUACUUCACACCACAAGCAAAAUUUAAUUUAAGAAUACACAAGAAAACAUCAAUCUUUUGGGAGCAGUCAGUCACCAAAGGAAGAGAGAAAAAGGAACAGAGUGCUCAGGAGAACAUUCUAAAGGAUUGGUCAAGUUGCUGGGAAUGCUGAGAUCGUUGUGUGUGAAAGGCUGCGCAUUUACCUGUGGGUUGUUCCUAUUCUAGCCUCCAUCAGGUACACGGAUGAGAGUUCCAGACCGAUAAAUCCAAUGGCCUGCUGGACAACUUCAUUGCGUGUUCAACUCAACACAUCAAAAAGAACAUAGCAACUAGUAAUAACUGGUAUUCUCUACUUCGGCGAAUACAUUAUCAUUUAUGGUAGUCCCAGUUGCCCGAGUAAGAAAACAAAAUCAUCCUCUUCCUCCACAAAGCUGGUAUCCAAUCAAUCUUCACGCACUGUUGAUUCUGUCUCCUUAUUGCCUCUUAAAACAGUCUUCUUAUUUUUAGCUGAACUGCUACUAUUUCAGGGUUUUAUCAUUUUUCCCCUUUAUUUCUGCACCAACUACUUUUUUCCACUGCAAAUUUGCCUUCUUUCAAAAAUUUUUAACACAAUAAAACAGAUCUAAUUCCCUUAACAAUUGUGAAACUUUCUUCUGAGGAAGAAAUACUCUUUAUGAGAAUAUGCCUCAAUAUGCCUGCUAGGAGGCAGCUGACUUACCCCAGGACAGACAUAUCUAC